UUAUUUGUUGAGAGAGAAAGAGUGGAAGAGAUAAAAAAUAAUUGCACGUGAUAAUUUAAUCGAAUAAAUCUCUCGAUCUAUCAUAAUAAAAAAAAAAAAGAAAAAAGAUUAUAUUUUUCUCUCAUUUACAAUUCCCAUUGAAUCCACGACUUCGAAAUAAAAUUUCGAUGAAAUGACAAAUUAUGUGUGUGUGUAUGUGUCUAUAUAUAUAUAUAUGUAGAUUGUAAUUUUGGAUUUGAUCGAAGACGAACGCUGGGACGUUUAACGAGGGAGGGUUGAAGAGUCAAUAAGAGUGACGGAGAAAUACGAGUACACAUCGAGUCGAACUAUCGUCGUGUAAUAUAGAAAGAAAUAAAUAGAGAAAGAGAGAGGGAGAGAGGGAGAGAGGGAGCGUGUGUAUGUAUGUCUUAAAGGAUAUCUCAGUAAACAAAACAGUUUACAAAAAGGAAAGAACGAUAAGACACGCGACAGAAUAUUAUCUAUUUCCGACGACACAGACACGCGAUAAAGAUCGUCGUUUGUAAGUGUUCGUUGAUUAUUCCGCGUACGAUGUUGUUCAAAGUCAUUCUCGUGAUCAUAAUUUUACGAGUGAAUCUCGAUCACGGUUACAAAAUUUUCAAUGAGAUGCAAGAAAAUGUAAGAAAAUUUUGGAUCGAUGCUAUAUGUCAUACGCGAGUGACAAAGUUUGUAAAUCUUUAUGGGGUAUUAACGAACGAGUCACUUUAUCUCGAACAUUUUUUCAACGGUCUUGUACGUGGUAUAAAUGAAGAACAAUGCGAAAUUACGAUUUUUCUAAAGACAUACGCUAUUGGCGAUCCCCGGAAAGAAAUAAAACGUAACGAUAAAGUCGAUCUAUCCUUCGAUGGAAUAUCUUUGAAGGAUUCAUUAGAAACUACCGAGUUAAAAGUUGUCAACGACUUAGGUGAUAAAAUAAAAAGAAGAAAAGAAAAAGAAGGAAGCAUAGAAAGAAGGGUAAGAAACGAUUUCGACGUAUGGUCGUUGUACGUGAUACUGAUAAAGAACGAACGUUCGAUGGAGCGAAUUUUGAAUGAGGAAGAGUCAACCAACUGGAUGUCUCGGCUACACUUCAUCGUAAUGAUAAUCCCAGAUGACGUAGAUAUCUCCGUAGAUAAUAAAUACGACGUGACGAUCGAACGAACUUUAAAAAUACUUUGGUUACGACGUCAAAUUCUAAACGUUUUAGUUUUUCUACCCUUCGCGAAAAAUGGGACAAACUUGGCGUACACUUACGAUCCUUUCUUUCUAAAUAAGAACGAUGAGCGAGGUAAACUCGAAUCCAUUAACGUCGUCUCAAAAGAGGACAUAUUUCUACGUUUGUCUCGGUUAACUCAUCGUCGUACGGACAAUAUGCACGGCUACAAAUUAAACGUAGGUCUAUUUCAACAAUUUCAAACUUUAAUGAAAAUGAGAGAUAAACCAUCGCCAGGCACGAUUUACGAAUAUUCCAGCGGAUAUAAUGGCUCGAAUGCGAUUAUCCUCGGUACGAUUGCUAAAUACAUGAACUUCACCGUGAACGAGAUUAAUCCGAGAGAUCAAAUUAAAUACGGACACGAAUUAUCGAAUGGCACUUACGUUGGAACCUUGGGUGACAUUGUCUACGGUAGAGCGGAAGUAACUUUUGCGUCUUUCUUCGUGAAAACCUAUGGCAAAAGUAAUAAUAAUUUCGAAUUUACUAUCCAGACGGGAUAUGACAGCAUCUGCGUGUUCGUACCGAAGGCACGCAAAAUACCGAAGUGGCUUCGAAUACAUCACAUGUUUGAACCGUCUAUCUGGCUUUGUUCGAUAAUUUCACCAAUUAUGGUCUACCUGAUGUGCUACGUAUUACUGUUAUUUACGAGAAGAAAAAUUUACAGUCACGCAAAACUCGCCUACAAAAUAUUUCAAUUCGCCAUUGGAUAUCCAACUAAAUUGCCACAUUCCUGUUUAGAAAGAAUACUUUUGUCGACUCUCUCCAUUACGAAUGUUAUAAUGGCAGGAUUAUUCGGAGGAUUAUUGUACAAAAGUUUUUCUAACGAUAUUUAUUACAAGGAUAUAAAUUUAUUAUCAGAAUUGGAUGCAUCGGAAUUACCUAUCCUAUUCUUGAAAUACAAUUUAAACGACGUUUUUGGUGACGAAUCUACGGCAUCGUUGGUGUUCAAUAAUCUAAGAAAAAAAUUUAAAUACGGUGUACAGGCGCUGCAUGACGUGACAUGUUUUAGAAAUGCAAGUGGAUUGAUUAGGAAAAAACAUUUUUAUUUGGUGGAAAGAAAGAUGGUUAAUGAAGAUCUAUCGCCAAAAUUACAUCUCGUUAAAGAAUGCCCACGUAAUUACUACUUAGCAUAUCCCAUACCGAAGAAUUCGUAUUUGCUCGAAAAGUUGAAUCUCCUGAUUGGCAGAUUAAAUCAGGCAGGCUUAUUGACAUUGUGGAAUAAUCGUACUAUCAUGAAUUUUAUUAAUCAAAGAAGAGAAUCAUCGACAAAACAGACUCAUGCGGGAGACAAAUUUGUCCCGUUCAAUUUGGAAGACAUGCAGACGUCCUUCUAUUUGCUAAUAAUCGGUCUAUUACUUUCGUCGAUUGUGUUUUGUAAUGAGAAAGGGUGGCUGACAAGACACGUGAAAAAAAGAAAAGAAAAUUUACCCGAAGGGGAUUCAUCUAAAGGAAAAAGAAAUUUUCUAAGAUUUUCUCUAAAGAAAAAGCAAAAAAAGCAAGAAAGAAACCCACGAAAAAUUUUCAUUUCAAACGUAAUUACGAAAUCCGAGAUAUCUUGUUCGAUCUGUUAAAUUGAUCGAUCAAAUCUAUUAAAGAUAUUUCUAAACUUUUAGCUAUAUACAUAUAUCGUAGAUUCGAUAAAUUAGAUUCGAAAUAUCUAUAAACUUUAUACGAUAUAUAAGUCACUUCAAUAACAUUCAGAAACGGUGUGAAUAAUAUCAUAAUACAAUAAUAUCGUAACUUUGAAAUUAUUUGAGUAUGGCUUGCAGCGAUUUCUAUAUUUGAGUUUUUCAAUAUUGAAUUAAUAAUAUGGCGAGAGGUCAAUGUACCACGUAUACCUUGAGUUUUCCAAAGUUUUGCGAUUUCCCAGCGUCAAUGCGUAGUAGUAGUAAGUGCACGUUCGUACGGCAAACAAAACUACAAGGUAAUGGGGGUUUAUUUUAAGAAUAUCUGAAAAUACGCUCAACACUAUUUCUCUCUGGCGUUAAGCUCAGUCGAGUGUCGUUGGUCGUUGAUGAGUUAUCAUGGU